rnacentral:lncRNA from 1 species
CCCUGAAUCGUUAGAGCCAUACUGAAAACAGUGUCUGCAUUCAUUUUUAUAAUCCAGAAGCAUCUCCUGUCGAAUGGCAUUUUUGUUUGGCAAGAUUGGAAUUAGUCAUGUGAAACCUCAAAUUAAAUAAAAUAUGAUGAAUAUGUUUUUAUAACUAAAUGGAUAGUUUUCAUUAUAAAGCUGAUGUACAUAUACUUUUUUCGGAAAAAAAAUCUUUAUUUUGUGCACAUUUAGAAGAGAAGUUUUUUUUAAUUGCUUGCUUCCAGGAAGCAAAAUGCCGACAUAUUUGCUGUAUGCAAGCAAUUUUGGCGUGACCCUUCUUGUAAAAAUCCAGUGAGUGCAAUAUGCAUGGAUCUAUCAUUUAAAUAAACUAUUAUCUGAUUGUAUAUGUGAUCAAUAUCCAUGCUUCUUUGUUGGUUGUUUACUGUAAGGUGAAAAUCGUUAAACUUC